GAUGAAGAACGUAGCGAAAUGCGAUAAGUAAUGUGAAUUGCAGAAUUCAGUGAAUCAUCGAAUCUUUGAACGCACAUUGCGCCCGCCAGUAUUCUGGCGGGCAUGCCUGUCCGAGCGUCAUUUCAACCCUCGAACCCCUCCGGGGGGUCGGCGUUGGGGACCUCGGGAGCCCCUAAGACGGGAUCCCGGCCCCGAAAUACAGUGGCGGUCUCGCCGCAGCCUCUCCUGCGCAGUAGUUUGCAAAACUCGCACCGGGAGCGCGGCGCGUCCACGUCCGUAAAACACCCAACUUCUGAAAUGUUGACCUCGGAUCAGGUAGGAAUACCCGCUGAACUUAAGCAUAUCAAUAAGCGGAGGA
rnacentral:misc_RNA from 1 species